rnacentral:tRNA from 1 species
AGUUCCAUAGUGUAGCGGUUAGCAUGUCAGCUUUAAAUGCAGAAGGUCCUGGGUUCACACACCAGUGGAGCCA